UGUCCAGUAACACCGUAGAGACCAACUAAGUUUGUUCUGGGUAUACGCUUUUGUGUGCGUGCAGAAAAACUUAGUUGGUCUCUAAGGUGCUACUGGACA